AGCAGCUUAUUUACAAAAGAGGAAGAAGACAAAAAUAUGAUUUGAUACAUAGAGACCUUGAGAAGAGCAGCUGUGGAUUUUCCAGUAAUAAAAACAAGUCCAACUUUAUCGAAUUUGGCUGUAUUCUUGGAGCUGCUCUAUUAAUUAGGCCGUAUUUGUAAGGAGACAACAAGCAAAACACUUCUAAGUAGAAUUACACGAAAAUUGCAUAAUCAAUUGCUGCAUCAAAACAACAUUAACACUCCAUCGAAAUGUUAAGUGAAAAACAAAACAAAGAAACCCUUCAAAGUCACCAAAAUUUGGGAGAAGCCUUCACAUGGGAAUCACUAUUAUUUGUAUACAAGUUCCACUCCUGUGUAUGUACCGUGACUGGAAAAGGCAAUAUAAUCAAUGAAGCCUCACAUUAGUCUUAAUUCAUAUUCACCAGCCAUUGUUAUGUAUCUGACCCACGGUAGAGCCACGUAUCCACUUUUCUCAAUGAUCUUUAGAUACCGAACCUCAUUGCACUAGCCAUCACAACAGGUUGCAAUGUGUAUCUUAGAAAUGCUUUUCCAUUCAGUUGUAUCAUAUCAGGCUCCCCAUUUUAGCAUAUUUUACACUCUCUAAAAGGUUGUGACAUUGCCAUUGGAGUAAUAGCCGAAUUGUCAAAGUACUUGCUUGCAGCACACAUAGUCAGAUGCUUGAAAGCUGAAUUCCAGAGACAGUAAAAUAUGGUAUCUCAAACUUCACACGGAUCGGAGCUUUUCUCUCAGGAGCUGCUUCUUCAGCUGUUAUACUAGGGAGACCAAAUUCUGCCCUCAACAUGUACUCCUUGUUACCAGGAAAAGAUUUGAUUUUCCAGACCAAAGCAUCAUUUUCAGGGGCAUAUGUAGCAGAACCCAUUGAUGUCCGGAUAUUAGGAUUUGUAGCAUCAGAUGGCACAGGCAAUUCAAUUUCAAUGUUAGUUGCAGUACUUCGCUCCUUAAAUUGGCUCCGAGCUUUCACCAUUAUCUCAAUUCGACUUCUAGAAUGCCUUUCAACUUGAGCUUCUACCCAAAUAAGAGGUUUCACCUGAGUACUAAGCCUAUACGUCAUCAAAUCAAAAGAUCCAUCAGGUGGUAUGAAGGAUAUCGUCCGAUCAUUUUCAAAUCUAGCUAAACGCACACACUGAUGGAAUUUGAUAUCAUCCAGAUCAAUAGCUUUCCCUUUUGUUGCUCGACCUUGAGCCUCCAGAAGUACUCUAUCAUUCAGGCCAAGUUUACAUUCAGGCAUGCCACUCAAGUAUGUUCUCAUCUUGAGUGCCCCGACAACAUCUGAACGUAUUAUUUGCCCAUUGCUGUUGACCAGUAUGUUGACACUCUCCACCACAUCUAAAAAUACUUCAUUCUUCUUGUACCGUAUCCCUUCACUUCGCCAGGACACAGCAUUUGUUACAGCCAUUGGAGGUCGCUGAGCAACUUCCAUCCUAUAAGCAUCAGUCUUGAUGAACUCACUAAGAAUCUUUGCUUCAGUAUAUUGAGGGAAACCAAAGUCCAUGAUUUCAUCAAGCAACUCAUACACAACCACAAAGUUAUCUCUCAAAGAUUCCUCUUCUAACACUUCAAAAUAAUGCUUAAACACAUCAACUACACGGUGAAGAAAGAGAAGAAGGCUGGCAGCAUUACAAUUCUGCCUAGAUGCAGUCAUCAAGUAAACAUUGUUGUGCUGUAUAAACAAGUAAGUCACUCCAUUGUCAUAGACCACUGGAUCCUGAGACUGUGGAUCACCCUCCUUCUCGAUGAGCUUGGUGAAGAAGCGCUCGGCCUGAACAGCAGAGACGUCGCCGCGAUAGUCGCGCCAAAUCAAGACACGGCCUUUGAUAUCGAGAAGAAAAAGCGCCGAGGCGGCGCCAGCCAUCGAUGGAAGGAAUCGAAUUUGCAGAUAUGAAUCAGCGACUGUGUUUUGCAACAGGUCAGAAUUGAAAAUGAAUGAAUCCAAGCGAAGAAUGAUCUGUUG
rnacentral:misc_RNA from 1 species